CUAAGAAGGAGUCAAGGUGUCUGUCUCUAACUUUACCUCCAGUGAGAGAGAGAGAGAGAGAGAAAGAGAGAGACAACAUACCCUCUCCCUCUCUCUAUUUGUCGUUUCCUUACCUGGUGUUAAUUAGUGUUGUACAGGUUCCCGCCCGACGGAGAGAGAGAGAGAGAGAGAGAGAGAGAGAGAGAGAGAGAGAGAGAGAGAGA